rnacentral:rRNA from 1 species
GCACGGGUGCGUAACACGUGGGUAAUCAACCCUUCAGCUCGGGAUAACGCCUUGAGAGGGGCGCUGAUACCGGAUGCGACGCGAGGAGCCUCGGCGCUUCGCGGGAAAGAUUCGCAAGGAUCACUGAAGGACGAGCCUGCGGCCCAUCAGCUAGUUGGUGAGGUAAGAGCUCACCAAGGCGAAGACGGGUAGCUGGUCUGAGAGGAUGAUCAGCCACACUGGAACUGAGACACGGUCCAGACUCCUACGGGAGGCAGCAGUGGGGAAUAUUGCGCAAUGGGCGAAAGCCUGACGCAGCCACGCCGCGUGAGCGAUGAAGGCCUGGUCGUAAGACUCUGUGGGAGGAGAAGAAUAAAGACCUGUGAAGAAUAGGGCCGUUGACGGUAGUCUCCUUAGUCAAGCACCGGCUAACUCCGUG